GACGAACGCUGGCGGCGUGCCUAAUACAUGCAAGUAGAACGCUGAAGGAGGAGCUUGCUCUUCUGGAUGAGUUGCGAACGGGUGAGUAACGCGUAGGUAACCUGCCUGGUAGCGGGGGAUAACUAUUGGAAACGAUAGCUAAUACCGCAUAACAGUAGAUGUUGCAUGACAUUUGCUUAAAAGGUGCAAUUGCACCACUACCAGAUGGACCUGCGUUGUAUUAGCUAGUUGGUGGGGUAACGGCUCACCAAGGCGACGAUACAUAGCCGACCUGAGAGGGUGAUCGGCCACACUGGGACUGAGACACGGCCCAGACUCCUACGGGAGGCAGCAGUAGGGAAUCUUCGGCAAUGGACGGAAGUCUGACCGAGCAACGCCGCGUGAGUGAAGAAGGUUUUCGGAUCGUAAAGCUCUGUUGUAAGAGAAGAACGAGUGUGAGAGUGGAAAGUUCACACUGUGACGGUAGCUUACCAGAAAGGGACGGCUAACUACGUGCCAGCAGCCGCGGUAAUACGUAGGUCCCGAGCGUUGUCCGGAUUUAUUGGGCGUAAAGCGAGCGCAGGCGGUUAGAUAAGUCUGAAGUUAAAGGCUGUGGCUUAACCAUAGUACGCUUUGGAAACUGUUUAACUUGAGUGCAAGAGGGGAGAGUGGAAUUCCAUGUGUAGCGGUGAAAUGCGUAGAUAUAUGGAGGAACACCGGUGGCGAAAGCGGCUCUC
rnacentral:rRNA from 1 species